CCUACGGGAGGCAGCAGUGAGGAAUAUUGGUCAAUGGACGGAAGUCUGAACCAGCCAUGCCGCGUGCAGGAUGACGGCCCUAUGAGUUGUAAACUGCUUUUGUAUUAGGGUAAACCCCCCUACGUGUAGGGUCUUGCAAGUAUCCUACGAAUAAGGAUCGGCUAACUCCGUGCCAGCAGCCGCGGUAAUCCGGAGGAUCCAAGCGUUAUCCGGAUUUAUUGGGUUUAAAGGGUGCGUAGGCGGGUUGAUAAGUUAGAGGUGAAAUUCCGGUGCUCAACACCGGAACUGCCUCUAAUACUGUUGGACUGGAGAGUAGGUGCGGUAGGCGGAAUGUAUGGUGUAGCGGUGAAAUGCUUAGAGAUCAUGCAGAACACCGAUUGCGAAGGCAGCUUACCAAACUGUAACUGACGUUGAGGCACGAAAGCGUGGGUAGCAAACAGGAUUAGAUACCCUAGUAGUC
rnacentral:rRNA from 1 species